rnacentral:rRNA from 1 species
AUUGAACGCUGGUGGCAUGCUUUACACAUGCAAGUCGAACGGUAACAGGCCUUCGGGUGCUGACGAGUGGCGAACGGGGGAGUAAUGCAUAGGAACGUACCCAGAGGUGGGGGAUAACGCAGCGCAAGCUGUGCUAAUACAGCAUGUGAUCUGAGGAUGAAAGAGGGGGACCGCGCAGCAAUGUUUGGCCUCGCGCCUUUGGAGCGGCCGAUGUCGGAUUAGCUAGUUGGUGGGGUAAAGGCCUACCAAGGCGACGAUCCGUAGCUGGUCUGAGAGGACGACCAGCCACACUGGGACUGAGACACGGCCCAGACUCCUACGGGAGGCAGCAGUGGGGAAUUUUGGACAAUGGGGGCAAGCCUGAUCCAGCAAUGCCGCGUGCGGGAUGAAGGCCUUCGGGUUGUAAACCGCUUUUGGCAGGAACGAAACGGUGUCCGCUAAUACCGGGCGCUAAUGACGGUACCUGCAGAAUAAGCACCGGCUAACUACGUG